AUUGAACGCUGGCGGUAUGCUUAACACAUGCAAGUCGAACGGUAGCAGGCCUUCGGGCGCUGACGAGUGGCGGACGGGUGAGUAAUGCAUAGGAAUCUGCCUAUUAGUGGGGGAUAACGUGGGGAAACUCACGCUAAUACCGCAUACGACCUACGGGUGAAAGGUGGGGAUCUUCGGACCUGCCGCUAAUAGAUGAGCCUAUGUUGGAUUAGCUAGUUGGUGAGGUAAGGGCUCACCAAGGCGACGAUCCAUAGCUGGUCUGAGAGGAUGAUCAGCCACACUGGGACUGAGACACGGCCCAGACUCCUACGGGAGGCAGCAGUGGGGAAUAUUGGACAAUGGGCGAAAGCCUGAUCCAGCAAUAUCGCGUGUGUGAAGAAGGCCUGAGGGUUGUAAAGCACUUUCAAUAGGAAGGAACACCUACCGGUUAAUACCCGGUAGACUGACAUUACCUAUACAAGAAGCACCGGCUAACUCCGUG
rnacentral:rRNA from 1 species